AGAAUUCUUCUGUCCAGCAUAAUAUGGAGAAAUCCCUUUUCCAACGAAGGCCUCAAGGAGGUCUGAAUAUCCACUUGCAGACUUUACAAACAGAGUGUUUCCUAACUGCUCUAUGAAAAGAAAGGUUAAACUCUGUGAGUUGAACGCACACAUCACAAAGGAGUUUCUCAGAAUCAUUCUGUCUAGUUUCUAUAGGAAGAUAUUUCCUAUUCUACCAUUGACCUCAAAGCGGCUGAAAUCUCCACUUGCAAAUUCCACAAAAAGAGUGUUUCAAGUCUGCUCUGUGUAAAGGAUCGUUCAACUCUGUGAGUUGAAUACACACAACACAAGGCAGUUACUGAGAAUUCUUCUGUCUAGCAUAAUAUGAAGAAAUCCCGUUUCCAACGAAGGCCUCAAGGAGGUCUGAAUAUCCACUUGCAGACUUUACAAACAGAGUGUUUCCUAACUGCUCUAUGAAAAGAAAGGUUAAACUCUGUGAGUUGAACGCACACAUCACAAAGGAGUUUCUGAGAAUCAUUCUGUCUAGUUUCUAUAGGAAGAUAUUUCCUAUUCUACCAUUGACCUCAAAGCGGCUGAAAUCUCCACUUGCAAAUUCCACAAAAAGAGUGUUUCAAGUCUGCUCUGUGUAAAGGAUCGUUCAACUCUGUGAGUUGAAUACACACAACACAAGGAAGUUUCUGAGAAUUCUUCUGUCUAGCAGAACAUGAAGAAAUCCCGCUUCCAACGAAGGCCUCAAAGAAGUCUGAAUAUCCACUUGCAGACAUUACAAACAGAGUGUUUCCCAACUGCUCUAUGAAAAGAAAGGUUGAACUCUGUGAGUUGAACGCACACAUCACAAAGGAGUUAUGAGAAUCAUUCUGUCUAGUUUCUAUAGGAAGAUAUUUCCUAUUCUACCAUUGACCUCAAAGCGGCUGAAAUCUCCACUUGCAAAUUCCACAAAAAGAGUGUUUCAAGUCUGCUCUGUGUAAAGGAUCGUUCAACUCUGUGAGUUGAAUACACACAACACAAGGAAGUUACUGAGAAUUCUUCUGUCUAGCACAGUAUGAAGAAAAUCCCGUUUCCAACGAAGGCCUCAAAGAGGUCUGAAUAUCCACUUGCAGAGUUUACAAACAGAGUGUUUCCUAACUGCUCUAUGAAAAGAAAGGUUAAACUCUGUGAGUUGAACGCACACAUCACAAUGAAGUUUCUGAGAAUCAUUCUGUCUAGUUUUUAUACGAAGAUAUUUCCUUUUCUACCAUUGACCUCAAAGCGGCUGAAAUCACCACUUGCCAAUUGCACAAAAAGAGUGUUUCAAAUCUGCUCUGUCUAAGGGAACGUUCAACUCUGUGAGUUGAAUGUACACAACACAAGGAAGUUACUGGGAAUUCUUCUCUCUAGCCUUACAGGAAAAAAACCCGUUUCCAACGAAGGCCUCUACGUGGUCAAAAUAUCCACGUGCAGACUUUACAAACAGAGUGUUUCCAAACUGCUGAAUGAAAAGAAAAGUUAAACUCUGACAGUUGAACGCACACAUCGCAGAGCAGUUUCUGAGAAUGAUUCUGUCUAGUUUUUAUACGAAGAUAUUUCCUUUUCUGCCUUUGGCCUCAAAGCGCUUGAAAUCUCCACUUGCAAAUUCCACAAAAAGAGUGUUUCAAGUCUGCUCUGUGUAAAGGAUCGU
rnacentral:lncRNA from 1 species